CCACUUACAAAACAAGCCCAAACCAAGCCCAAUCUAACCCUAGCCCAAAGUUAACAGAAAAAAACAAAAAUACCAAAACCCUAGGUGUGCCGCACCUAGGGUCUUCUGACCAGCAGCCUCAGCACAGCCUCUGCUGCCACCCACGUGCUGUCUGACACCCUUCAACCACCAUCUGCAAAGAAGAACAGGAAAGAGACAGAAGCCAUGUGCAGGAACAGUAACAAAGAAGCAAAAACGCAAUAGCAAUGAACCAUAAUCAACAGUAGCAAAUAGGCAGUGAAUCGGCUAUAAAGCCACCAAAACAAACGAUUGUAAGGGGUGAUUUUUGAAUACAAAAAAAUACUGUAUUACACGCAUAUUUCAGAAAUCAAAAGAAAAAAAAAGGGUUGAUUUUGAUUUUCUCUUCUUUUUCUUUUCGUUUUCCCUUUUCUUUUUUUUAUAUUAUUACAAAUCUAUUUUCAAGCAAAAUGAUAAAAUAAAAAAAAAGAGGAGAGAAAACUUACCCGAGUCCGAUCUUGCGUGACUCCGACCACUGUCCACGGUGGAGCCAAGGCUGUUCGGCGAUGGUGCGAUGAUGGGUUUUCAAAACCCUAGCAGAAAAGGAAAAAUGAAAAAGGAAGGGGAGGGGCUACUCUCUGUUUUUAGAAAAAAAGAAAGGAAGAAAUGAAAAAAAAAUUAAAAAAAAUUUGGCUUUAACAGCCCUGCAAAACGACCAUGUUUUGCUUCCCCCCCCAUACGCCUUAAAACGGCGUCGUUUAGGGGGGAACCCGCGCGACCCGACCCAGGUAGUGGAGGAUUCGCGUGUUUUCAGACGUAUGGGCUAUUUACGCCCUUAGUCCUUCCACCUUUGGGGACGUUUCAAAUGGGAUCCUUUCUGUUAUUUCCAUUUCAGCCUUAAAAUUUUAUUUCAGUUUCAAUUUAGUCCCCCAAUUUAGCCCAUACACGCUGCGCACAAGGGACCAAGGAUAUUUUCCCUUUUGGUCGCUAUUAGUUUUUGCGCAUUACGUUUUAAUCCUCCACUUUGUUUUUCAUUUCCGAUUUCCCCCUUUAAAAUUUGUUUAGCUUCCAAUUGUGGUCCUUAUUACAUAAUUUCAACUUUUACUAUUAUUUUUCCUUUUAUAGAUAUUUUAUUUUAUUUGUUUUGUUUAUAUAUUUUAUUUUUGUUUACUGAUUUAGGUAUUUAGUUAUUAUUCUUUGGUUCUUUAAUAUUUAAUAUUGUCUUUAAUUUUUUUAUCAUAUUUUUUUAUAUUUUUCUUAUAUUUUAUCUCCUCUUUUAUGUUUUUAUUUAUUUCUUAUUGUCAUAAUUAUUGUUAUUUAUUUACAUACCUCUUCAUUGCCAUUUUAUUACUACUACCUUUAUUAUUGAUAUUAUUAUUAUUACAAUUAAUUAUUAUUAUUAUCAUUUCUUAAUUGUUUUAUUUAAUAUUUCUUUAUCCUUCUAUCUAUUUGCUUAUUUUCAACUUUUUACUUGCUUUUUUUAACUGGUCUGUCUUUUUUAUUUCAUUUAUUAUUUAUCCUUUUUUAUUUCUUGCUCUUAUUGUUGUAAUUUAUAUUAUCGCAUUCGCUAUUAUUCUAUUAUGCAUAUUAAUAUCGUUUUUAUCAAGCAUAUUAUGCCAUUAUUACUACGAAUUUGCGUUGCAUUAAUAUUUACCCACUACAUAAAAUGUCGUGUUUUAAAUACGCAAUAUUUUCGCAUUUCGGAAAUUCAAGAAAUCUUACCCUCACUUAUAAGGUUUUGAUUUUAUCGUUAAACCCAGAUAGCAAAAUAUCUCUUCAAAAUUUAAAAUAUAUGAAUUUUAAAUUAUAAUAAAGAUAACAUUCCGUGUUCGGAGAUUUUAGAGAUCGUGUCCUAAUGUGUUGGAUUUCUAUUUUUUUCGUUUGACCCAAAUGACCGAAUCACCUUUUGAAAUUAAAACGCAUGGGUUUUGAAAAUCAAAAGACAAGCUUAUUCUCGAGGUUUUAAAAUGUUGUGUCUUAACGUACUGGAUGUGACAUUUUAUUACUUCGGAACAAGAAGGUCUUUAACAUUUGUUUCGAUUUACGCAAGUAAAUUCUUCGUAAAAAAUCAACAUUAAAAAAGAGAAGAUCGUUUUUUUAAAUCUUUUCGAGUUUUUAAAUUUCAACAUUAAGACAUUAAUUAAUCAAUUAGGUACCAAUCUUGGGAGUUACAAGGGUGCUAAUUCUUCCUCGUACGUAACCGACUCCAAAAUAUGUUUUCUCAAAUUUUGUAGACCAAAAUCGCUGUUUUAGUAAUACCAAAAUAUUUUAUUAAAACAAUUAAAUUACGAGGUAAUCUGACUGCACUUAAAUAAAAAAAAGAUUGGUGGCGAUUCUUAUUUUUUAUUUUCACUUUUAAAAUAAAAGUCGACUCAUUUUUUUCAAAAAAAAUGGUUUCAACAAAAUCCGUGGAUAUUAAUAUUUCUCUUAAAUGAAUUUUGGGAAGGAACCAUUUUAAUUGUAGGAUAUUGUUUACACUCCAUGAUCCUAUUCUUAGGCGGUAGUGAUCCUCUGCGGUUGAUUCUGUCUAGUAUAUUCUUAGGAUGUUGGCUAUUCAUUAGUCUAUGUAGGUUCUAUAUAAAGGGAUGUUGUGCACGUUGUAACUCGUAAAAAAUCAAAUUUAUAUUUAUUCUUUUUUUCAACCUACUUGUUUUCUGUCAAUUAAAAUUCUAACACUUCAAAUAUCAGAGUUCAAAUUUCAUAAAUGAUAUCUUCUUUUCAAAAACUUGCAAUUUGAAAGAAAACAAAAACAAAUUUUAAACUUGCAUGGGUGCCUAAUUCUAGAAAACUGUUAUUGAUGAAUUAUUAGAAGAAAAGAAUUUGAAACUAAAGGGUUUAAUGUCCAUAAAAACACUAAUUAUAAACUUUAUUAACAUUUCCAAAUUAUAUAGUGUUGGAGUAAUCAAAUGAAAAGUUAUAUCAAUUGAUUAUUAAUUAGAAUUUGUCACUAUUUAUAGUGAUGAGUUAUGCUUCUUAAAUUCUAAAGUUUUGUCACUUGAUUAUUAACAAAUAGUUAUAAUUAUUCAGGUAGAUAUCUAUCAGAUAAUUAUGUUUAUUACUAAAGAUAUGACUAUCCAUUUAGGUAGUUAUGUCUUUAUGAUGUAGAUAUCUAUAUUUCAUUUACAUGACACGCCAAACAACAUAGAAACUUUGUUUUUAUAUUUUCAUCAGUAUAAAAUGUAGACAAUUAUUAAGCUUCAUUGUAUCCUUAAGGUUCAUCUACUAUUAAUCUUUUCGCACACUAUAAUAUAAGUGGGGGUGAACAGAACUUUAAAGAAAGUGGCAUUGCCUUGAAGCUUUCAUUAAUUUCUUAUAAAUUCAUUUUAUCCCCCCACCAACAAUUUUAAGGUUCUAUUUUCGUAAUUUAUGAUAAAUUAAAGAAGGUAUGGCUAUUCACUAUGCAUUCACAUGCCACUACAAUCAUGGUACUAUGAGGAUGACUUCAGAAAGGGGAUAACAUUGAGGUUAGUGAUUUAAUUAUUGGCUUAGAAGAAAUAUUUGUAGCAAUAACAACAGAUACGUCAAUUUUUGGUUUACUAUUAUUGCAUGAAUUGAAUUUCAUGGUUAUGUUCUAUCGAGAUUAGUUAUAUUAUGCAAAAAGUAUAAGUGUCUCAUGGAUUAGUUUUUGAUAAAGUCAAAUGCUAAUUUAUUAUAUACAUGAUAUACAUGCAUAGUUAUGACUGGUACAUAAUUAUGUAAUAUAUAUGAUAUGCAUAUAUUUUUACAAUCAUGAAAGGAGAAAGAAAAGGAGUUAAUGAAAUUUUUAAGCAAUGCAAGGAAAUAAUGUUUCGGUUGGCCCCUUAAACCGAAAACAUAUGUUUGUUCAAUGAUUUCAAAUCAUGAUAACCAUGUAUAUUUAGUAAACUUCCAACCAUGAAAAUUUAUGAUUUUUCAAAAAGACAAUUCUAUACUUAUUUAUACAUUAUAUGUAGAUGUUUGGUUGGAGUUGAAUUAAAUUAAUUCACUCCAUUUAAUUUGUGAGUGAAAUUUUUAGUGCAAAAUUAUUUUUUUGUGAUAUAUAUUUAAUUUGAUAUAUGAAUUUAUUUGUUUAUUUAAAUCAUGAUAUUAGUAACUAGCAUUUAAAUGAUAUUGAUGAGCCAUCAUUUUCAUUUCUAAAAUGAAAGUUUGUAAAUGAUCAUUAUAAUAUAAAUAAUUUUUGUUGUUGUUUUUGUUAAAUAACCUUAAGCUAAAUGGGCUUCAUAUAUGAUUGCACCUUUUUUAUUUUAUGUAAUCAGGUUUGAAAUAGAAGUGGUUUUGACUAGAAAUGAAAUAAGUUAUAUGCAUGGUUAAUUUUUCUAGUCAACGUAGAAUAGUAAAAAGCAUUGACCUAUAUAAUAAGAUCAAUAUUCUGGUAUGAAAUCUCCUAGUGAGAAUAUAUAACGUGAUAAUCAUAUAUUUGAAAUCAAGAUGAUAUUGUACAUAUUCACGAUAGUACAUGUGGUUUUUUUAUAUACGGUUUGAUUAUGAUCUACAAUCUCGUGGUUCUAUACAAUUUUGAGAUGUAAUACUCAACUCAAUGCUUAGUAUAACGUUUAAGUCUUGAGUUCAAUGAGAUAAAGUACAACAUCAAUAUGUGACUAUUAGCACUAUAAAAUAAUAUAUAUAAUAUAUCAUCCCAAGGUAAAAAGUGUUAGGUACUCGUAAUGAUAAGGGGAAGGAUGAGUAUUACACUCUUAAGACCCAUAACAUAAAUAUGUUAGUGUUAUAAUUACAAGAGCACUAUUGAUGGGAUCUACCUAUGUGAGUGGAAGUGUGGCUGAUUCUAGGAGCUUAGGGUUUAGCUUUGACAACACUCAUUAAAAAGAGGUUACAAACACAUUACCAUAAUAGUGUCAUUGGAUGCUAUGCAUUAAUUGGCAUUGAAAUCACUGUGUGAGAUGUGUUCGGUUAACCAAAUUGAAUAGUUGGUCCAAAGCAUAGUUUACUAUGCAAUUUUGAUUAACUUUAACAUGUUUUCACUAAGUGAAGGUUCAAUCGUAAGACACCUUACACAAUUGAUUUCCAAAUUUAUCAAAAUCUAGAAUAUGUUGAAAAUGGGAGAGGAUUGUUAGAACAUUUCCAAAAUAUAUAGUGUUCCAGUAGUUGCAAAUGAAAAUUUAUAAGUAACCAAAGUUAUGUCACUUGGUUAUUAACCAAAAGUUGUCACUAUUUACAGUGAUGAGUUAUAUCUCUUAAAUCCAAAAAUUAUGUCACUUGAUUAUUAACAAAUAAUUAUAAUUAUUCAAGUAGAUAUCUAUUGAACAAUUAUGUUAUUGUUAAAGAUGUAGUUAUAUCCCUAUAAAGAGACAUGAGACCUUUUGUAAAUAGGACUUGUAAAUAGGAAUGGAAUUUCAUUUGCGUGACACACCAAAAAACAUAGAAACAAAGUUUCUUUUUAUUCUUCCACCAUCUUUCAUAUUACUAGAUUGUUCUAUAGAGAAUUAUUGUAGAUUUUUUUUUAUAGAAAUUGAUAUUAUUGUUAUGCUCCACUUAAUGCUCAGUUGAUUAUUUCUGUCGAUGCAAAACGUAAAUAGUCAUUGGGCUAUUGUAUCCUCAAGGUUCAUUUGCCACUAACUCUUUUACAUACCAUAAUAUAGGUGGGGCGAAUAGUGUUGGAAAAAAUUUGGUUCGAAAAUGCUUUUCUUACAUAGUGAAAAAUUAAAAUUUUGAAAGUCGAGUUAGUUUGUGAUAUUUAUAGCAAUAAACUUUAUCUGAAAUCGCACCUAUGUUUUUUGGCUAGACAGAUCCUUGUCAUUCCCGACUUUCAACUAAACGACCUUCUCUUUUAUUCUCGUACCACGAAUUGCUUUGAUUGUGGGCUCAAACAAAUUCAAAUCAAACACAAUGCAACACCCUAACCCGUAUUCGUCGCCGAUUAGGGUCACAAGACAUUACUAAACAAAAGCACAGUUCCGAACAUUUACAUAUUCACACAAAUCAUAAUCGUAUAUAUAUAUAAAGCAUGUAGCUAAUUAAAUAUUAAAAAUACAUUAUUAAUUAUAUUGCAAACACGAAUUGUACCUCAAGAUUCAAUCAAAUUCAUACCAUUUCCAUCUCCCAAACUUAAAUUUAACAUAUACUGAGCAUAUAUCAUAAAUUCAAAUUUGAUUCAUAUAUUUUAUUAUUAUUUUUAUUUUAUAUUCGAAGCAACUAGCUUGCCACAAGUCAUGUUAUACACGCUUUAUAAUUCUACUAUUCUAACCAUACAUAUAUCUCAUUUAUAGCUUCUCUACUUAACAAAUUAUAAGGAAACUUAUUACUCCACAAUUCCAUGCACAUACAUUGAUACAUCCAAACAUGAAAUUUUAGCAACCAUUACUAAAUGGUCAAGUUAUUCCACAUGAAUUAAUAGACAAAAUUAUACAAGUACAUACAAGCAUUACCAAAUGAUCGAAUCUCAAUCGUAUUUAUAACUAAUUCAUGCAGCACUCAUUUGACUAAUAUUAGUCAUUUACUAAGUACCAAUGUCGAAUCAAAAUAUGUCAAAUUCAUAUGCUAUGCAUCAUGCUAAAAUGUCAUUUUCAAAACCAAAUUGUUUUUCAUCUAUUCAGCUAGCAAAUUAAUUAUAAAAAUAUUUUAUACCAAUUUCAUAACCAAAUAGUCAUAUUAACUAAACACAUUAAACUUGACUUAAUAAUUAACAAAUCAACUAUAAUUCAUUAACAUUCUUGUCUCCAUAACUGCACCAAUAAAUCCAAUUAUACAAGCAAUGAUUUAUUCAUUAUUUAGCUUAUCCAAUUAAGCCACAACCAAAAAGACAUUCAUCAACCGAAUCAUUACCCAACCAAAACAUGAAACUAAGACACCAUACACACAUACCAUGAAACAUACUUCCCAAAAUAAGCUUAUACCAUGCCCGAAUAUACACAAACAUUAACCUCAUUAACAAGCCAUUUUCGCAUGGCUAUAUAUAUAUACAAAUCAAAAGGAACCAUAUUGAAACUAGCCUAUACAUUCCACAUAAUCAAAAACUCAAAGCUUUUGUUUACUGAAGCGAUAACCGGAUAGUGUGAUGACGUCUCCAACAACUUCCAACUCAAGCUGGUCUCUAAAACUCUAUAGACAUAGGAAGAACACACAGAGUAAAAUUUGAAAGUUUAGUAAGCCAUAAGCAAAUAAAUCAUUUCAAUGAUAUUUAUAAACCAAUAUCAAUAAAUCGAACUUAACAUAUCUCAAUCACAUAUACAUUCAUUGUACUCGUAAAUUCACAUAACCACAUUAAAUUACUCCAUUUAUCUUAUUAAUCAAUGAACGUAUAACCAUGCUUUCAAAUUCGAAUAAUAUCCGUUAGCUCAAUCAUAAAAAUCAAGCUCGCACAUAUUCAUUACAUCGCCAACCAAACCAUGGUCAUUUAUUACAAAUCAUAUAUAAAGUUAUAUCAACUUCUUCAUAAACGUUUCCAAACUCGAACAUCCAUAAUUCCCUUAUUCACAUAAACCAAAAUCGCAUACAUGAAUCAUAUAGCCAACCAAGAUCAACUUUAUUUUUACUAAUUAUAUAUUACAUACAAAGCAUACACCAAUUUAACCAUUUUAAUUUCAUUGUCUGUUCAAAUUUUCAAACCAAGCAGUCAUACCUCAAAGCCAUGUUUCAUGUUUCAUAAAUCUCAUGUCCGAAACAUAGGACCACAAUUCCAUAUUAUGAGUAUAUAUAAUAUAUCAUUCAUUGUCAUAUAUUUCACAUAUGGUCAUAUGAUACAUACUCACCUUUCAUUUCUGAAUUUCAUAAAUAAAUCACACGUACCUGAAUUAGAUACAAUUUCGCAUAGAUAUUCAUUUCUCGGAAUGCCCGUUGAACCGUUCGGAAUCAAUAAGGAUACUCGGAUAGCUCAUUAGCUCGUACAAUGUCAACAUCCCAGACGUGGUCUUACAUGUAAUCAAAUAUCGAUGCCACUGUCUCAGACAGCGUCUUACACGAAAUUAAAUAUGAUGUCAAUGUCCCAGACAUGGUCUUACAUGUAAAUCACAAAUUGAUGCCAACGUCCCAGACGUGGUCUUACACAAAAUCACAUAUCGGAAUCCUAUGUCAUGACAUAUGUAUCCUACACUAUUCCUAUGGUUCAUACGAGGCUUUCAGAAAUCGUAAUUCAAUCGAUUCAAGCUCGUAACUAGUUCUCCAAUGCUUAAUUCAAUUUGGCAUAUACACAUUUUUUUUAUUUUAAUUCAAUUCGGCACAUAUAAUACAUAUACAAUCGAAUUUAACAACAUUUAUUUACUUAUGAACUUACCUCGUACGGACAUGAACGGAUCAGAAUGACUACUCGACAAUUUUUGACUUUUCCUUGAUCCAAAUCCGAUUUUUUCUUUUCUUGAUCCAAAUUAAGCUUCAAAAGUGCCGAAAAUUCAAAUCUUCAUCCAUGGCUUCAUUUUCUUCCAACAUUCGGCCAAAAAGAUGAUAAUGCAUGUCCAAUUUAUGAAUUGUUUUAUUUAAUCACAUAUUAAUACUUAAUUUAUUAUUUUAACCUUUAUAAAAUAAUAUAAAAGUUUAUAAUGGUUGUCCACUACCGUCCAUGCUAAAAUUAAAUGGCCUAAUUUCAUUUUAAGGCCUCCACCUUUAAAAGAACAUAGCAAUAUAGCACUUUAACAAAUAGCAAAUCAUUUUUGUAUUUUACGUGAUUAAGUCCUUUUAUCAAAUCAGACACUCAAACGAUAAAAUUAAGUCACGAAAUUUCACACAAAUUAAUUAACAUGAUGUAAACACCAAAAAUAAUAUUAAAAAAAUUUUGACUCGGAUUUGUGAUCCCGAAACCACUGUUCCGACUAAGGUCUAAACUGGGUUGUUACACACAAAACCAAAAAUUAUUUAUUUUACUUUUAAUAGAAAAGAAAACCUCUAUUCAAUAGCAACUGGUAGAACUGUUAUCAUCUAUGUUGAAUUCAUUGGUUUGAUUAUUUCAAUAAGUUUCCGCUUCACUUGCAAUUCAGUGUUAUAUUUUUGCAACUCCUAAAUCCUCUAAAGAAAUACAGGUUUAGCUCUCAACUCGGCUAAAAUAAAGACAUCCCACCCCAAAGUCAAACAGGCAUUCAUCGUUUAUAAAGCGAAUAGAGAUUUUUACCUUAGAGCAUCAACCGCAACAUUAGCUUUUCCUGGAUGAUAGUCAAUGAUCAAAUCGUAGUCUUUAAGUAACUCAAGUCACCUUUACUGCCUCAAAUUCAAUUAUUUCUAUGUUAGCAAGUAUUUUAGACCUUUAUGAUCCGUGAAAAUGUGACAUUUUUCUUCGUACAAAUAAUGUCUCCAUAUCUGCAAAGCGAAAACCACAGCUGCGAGUUUCAAGUCGUGAGUAGGAUAAUUCUUCUCAUGUGGCUUAAGUUGUUGAGAAUUAUAAACAAUUAUUUUCCCCUCUUGCAUUAGUACACAACCUAAACCAUUGGGUGAAGCAUCGCUGAACAACACAAAGUCUUGUCCCGAUUCAGGUUGGGUUAAAAUAGGAGCUUCACUUAACAUUGCCUUCAACUUUUCAAAACUCAACUGGCACUUUUCAUACCAAAAGAAACUAACAUUCUUCUGUAGCAAUUUUGUUCACGGAAGGGGUAUCACCAAAAAUCCUUUUAUAGAUCGCUGAUAGUAUCCUACCUGUAACAUCCCCUACCCGUAUCCGUCGCCGGAAUAGAGUAUGAGGCAUUACCGAGGAGUACAAAAACACUUACAGAUAAUUUAAAUAUAUUUUCAUAACAACUUGUCUCGAUUUCAUACUAUUUCAUAUUUAAGCUUUACUCACCAAAGUAUUUGAAAUAUCAUCUUUAUGCAAAUAUCACACAUGAGGUACAUAAUUCCAUAAUUAAGAAUGAACACAUUUAUCAAACAUAUUCCACAUUCAUAUAUCAAUGUCUCACAUUUCCAUAUAUUAAUAACCGUCAUUUUUCUUGUUUUUCAGAUAAUUAUGUGUAACUAUUGAUAAGCAUGCAAUUCACUGUUUCUUCCUAUCAAUCACAAUUUCAAAUGACAAAUUCGUGUGAAUGAGCUCAACCUCAUUAGGUUUUUAAAUUCUGUCACUUUGAUUCACAUACUCAUAAUUUACUAACAUAUCCUGUCAAACACAAUCUCUGAAUGACAAAAUCACAUAAUUGAGCUCAAUAAUAAUAAUGAUAACAUUACUUACAUUUCUUUUUCCACAUGUUACAUUUACGACUUACCAACUUGUCCAUUCAAGGAACAGCUUACGGAUUUGAGUACAUCGUGAUCUGAAGCCCGAAGUCUAACUGAAGCACAUAAGUGCUAAAUGGAAGCCUGAAGGCUAACUGAAGCACAUAAGUGCUAAACGGAAGCCCGAAGGCUAACUGAAGCUCACCAGAGCUGAACUGAAACCCCAAAAGGGUUAACUGAAACUCAUAUGAGUUAACGGAAGCUUGUAAGAGCUAAACAGAAAGCAAACACAAGAAUUCGCAACAAAUGCUGAAUCUCGGUUUACUUGGGUAAUUUACCAUCAAUUCAUCUUUUUCACUGAAAGAUUGUACUUAUUUCUUGCGUUCCGUUCCUCCGAAAUUCUCAGUUCAAUUUCAUAACUUUUGUACAUAAUUUACUUAUUUUCAACAACUAAUAUACAUAAAUAUUAAUCACCAUUCAUAAAAUAAUAUUGAAAUUUAAUAAUAUUAACAAAUGGUCACUAAAUUUAGUUAUAUAUACUCACAAGUUCGAUUUUUGUAUUAUAGCGAAAAUCAUAAUUUCAUAAUAAAUAUUCCAAAUAAAACAUUAUACCGUUUCUAAUUCAACAUUUAUCGAUUAUAAUCGCGCAUGUGAUCAAUUUAUACACGAGUCAUUCAUAUAUUUUUGUAUAUUUUCCUCCUCCUCCUCUCCAUCCACAUCCUUAGUAUAAACAACACACUUGUAGGUAACAUUAUCCAUAAUUUUCACUAUCUACUUAUGUGAAUAUUCAAGCUGUCCAUCUGUGUCAUGGUCACUAAAUUAUUUUUAUCUUGAGCUAAAGAAUUCCAAAUUAAGAUCCAUAAAUUUAACCAGAAACUAGACUCAUAGGUCUUCUUACCAUAAAAAUUUCAUAAUUUUUAGUUAGGCCAAUUAAUACAGUUUAUUCAUUAAAGUCUCCCCUGUUCUGUUAUCUGACAGUUCCGACCCUUCUUCACUAAAAAUUAAUUAUCUCCUCGUACAGGAUUCGAAUGAUGUUCCCGUUUAUUUAUAUUGAAAAUAGACUCAUUCAGGAUUCUAAACAUAUAAAUUAAAGCCCCUAGUUAUUUUUAUCCAAUUUUUUAUGAUUUUACAAAGUCAGAACAGGGGAACCCGAAAUCAUUCUGACCUUGUCUCACAAAAUUUAUCAUAUCUCAUGAUUUACAAUUCCAUUGCUUACAUUAUUUCUUCUAUAAGAAACUAGACUCAAUAAGCUUUAAUUUCAUAUUUUAUUCAUCCUCUAAUUCCAUUUAUACAAUUUUUGGUUAUUUUUUCAAAGUUAGACUACUGCUGCUGUCCAAAACAGUUUUAGUGCAAAAUGUUGAUUUCUAUUUUGCCCCAAAUUUCACAAUUCAUACAAUUCAGUCCUUGCUCAAUUAACCCCUCAAUUAAGAUAAUUUUCUCAAUUAAUAAUUUUCAUAAACAUUAUAAGUUAUUUCAUAACUAUUGAAAUUCAGAAUUUCCACAUAAAACUCUAACUUCAAACUCUUUUACAAUUAGGUCCCAAACAUUCACUUUCUAUUCAAUUCUUACAAUAAAAUCAACAUAUAAACAAUUUAAAACUCUAAUUCCAUGCCAAAUCAUCAUAUACUUCCAUCACAUACGUAUAGAAACUUUCAAUUUCUUCCAUAGAAUAAAAAACUAAUGAAUUCAACAAGUGGACGUAGUUGUAAAAGUCACAAAAACACAAAAAUUUCAAGAAUUAAUCAAGAAUUGAACUUAGUUGGAGUAAAAAUAUGAAAAACCAGCUUAAUAGAACUCCUCCAUGGCGUUUUUCUGAUGAGAAUGCAGAAAAAUAAAGAGAAAUCUAGAUAAUUCCACUUUAGUCCUAGCUUUAUUAAGUAAAUUUUGCAAUUUCCUAAUUUUGCCCUUAAUUCUCCUUAUUUUCUUGCUGAUUUCGUGCCCUUUCCGUCCAGCCCAAAUAGACCUUGGGUCUAUUUUCCUUUUAAACCCUCUUUCUUUUAUCAAUUAAGCUAUUUAAUCAUUUCCCAUAAUUUUGCAUUUGAUAUAAUUUAGUCCUUUUUGUUCAAUUAACUAUUAGAAUUUUAAAAUUUCUUGACGAAACUUUAAUACUAACAUAUUAACACUCCAUAAAUAUUUAUAAAAAUAUUUAUGGCUCGAUUGAAAAUUCCCGAGGUCUCGAUACCUCGUUUUCGAUUCUAAUUAUUUUAAUAUUUAUUUUUAGUACACUAUUCACUAUAUCAAAAUUUUUCCUAACUUCACAUUUAAUUUAUACGCACUAAAUUAAUAAUAUUUCUUACUCAUUUUCCGGAUUUAGUGAUCUCGAAUCACUGUUCUGACACCACUGAAAAUUAGCCUGUUACAACUCUCCCCUCAUUUAGGGAUUUUCGUCCCCAAAAAUCUUAUCAGAAGAAAUUGCUUUCAACACUAAUGAAACACUUUUACUAACUUCUCAGUUUCACAAAGAAAACCCCCACUUUAGCAUUUAACUUGGUUGAAAUCAAAUCAUCAUCAAAUAAAGCCAAUCAUGUAGUCAACAUUCACAAAAUAAUCAAGAUUUUCCAAUACGUAUAUAAUGUAGAGUAACAACCCGUAUAAACAGAAUAAUAGCUUUAUAUGAAUCUCACCAUUUACUUUUAUCUUCAACGUAACAGAAUAGUAUAACAAAGAAAAAUUUAGAAGUCCCAAUCAUAAUUUAAUCAGACCAACGAUGAUCUCAUCAAAUAUUUUAGCUAGCUAGCAUUCUCAUACAAUAAGAAUUUCAUCAGAAAACGAACAGCCACAUAUUCCUCUGACUAAUUCUGUCAUCCCUAAUCCCAUAAUAUUUCAUUCAUUAACAAAAAUCAAUUCAAAAGAAUUUUCCGAUAAGUACACUCUUUAGACAUCAUAUCUGAAUAAGUCAAUUUAUUGAAAUUAGCUUCUUCUCUAAUCAUGACAUUGCAUAUCUCGAAUGAUCUUUAAAACGUUCUAAUACCUUUUUCCAGAACUAUAUUUACUUUUCAAACUAUUCUCGUUUCUGUAUGCCUUACUAAUCACUUCAACACUAUACUCUCCAAUUCUACAGGUGUGAAUUUAUUAACAUAAUUCUCAUGAAAUUUUGUCAUAAUUACAACUCUGGUAAGGGGGUGAGGUCGUAAAGCCUUUAACUCAACUCUCAUAACUACACACAUAUGACUUGACAUUCAUACAUAACAUUAUUGUUUUCACAUAAUUCACUUCAAGCAAGAUUAAUACACUUAUAUAGUCUAUCAAUAUUUUCUGCCAUAUACAAUUUCAAACGAUGAAUUCACUUAGUUUAGCUCAAUAUCAACAAUUAAUCAAUUGCAAUCUCUUAAGUCCAUUUAUCACUUACCUUUCUUAAUCAAUUUAGGGAACAAUUUCAGAAUUGAGUACUUCGUUUUCACCAUGCCAUAGUAAAACUAUGGUCUUGCACAUAGUCACAUAUCACACACCGAAGCCAUAGCCCAGCCAUGGUCUUACACGGAUCACAUAUCACACUGAUGCCAUAUCCCAGAUAUGGUCUUAUACAGAAGCACAUAAUCACAUAUCUAUGAUGCCAUAGCCCAGCUAUGGUCUUAUACGGAAAUCACUUGUCACUUGUCACUUGUAGCCGAAGCUACCACUAUUCACUGAUCAGGUAGCCAGAGCUACCAUUUUUCACUGAUCAGGUAGCCGGAGCUACCACUUUUCACUGAUCAGGUAGCCGGAACUACCACUUUUCACUGAUCAGGUAGCAGAAGCUACCAUUUUUCACUGAUCAGGUAGCUGAAGCUACCCCUUUUCACUUGUCAUUUGUUAUUGAUCAGAUAAGUGUAGCCGAAGCUAUCACUUAUCACUUUCACUUUUCCUUGAUCAGAUAAGUGUAGCCGAAGCUAUCACUUAUCACUUGUUGCCAUGGUCGAACCAUGGUCUUUUCCUUCAAUUCAUCUUGUCACUGAACUGAAAUGCUCAAUUUGAUCAUUUAUUCAAUUUUCAUGCUUUUACAUUAUUCACGAUUUUAUCAUCAAUACAUAUGAAAUAACACAUCAUGAAAUUCAUAACAAAUAAUCACUAAAAUUUAGCCAUAUGAACUUACUAAUCAUACUUAUUCAACCAAGUGUACAUAAACACACACUUAUUCAAUUUUGAAUAAAAUUUACUUAAUCAAACAUGUUGAGCACAUAACAUCAUAGACAUGCCAAACAGACACGGAUAGCCUUAUCAUAAUAUAAACUUUCAUUUCAUUUCACCUUUUUAUAUUUCAACUUAUGGUUAUCUCAUUUCGUACAUUAUCACAUACAUAUCAUGAACUUCUAUUCAUACCUUCUCAAGUUUCAACUUAACACAAACACAUUUUCAAUGUCUCAACACCAAAUUUUCGCACUGUCAAGAUUAGCUCGGUUGGAAAGCACCUUGGUCUUAACAAAACAAUUUCGUUAGAGCCGGAAGAUAUCACAAUAUCACGAGUAAUAAUAUAGCAUGUAGAGCUAAACUCACAUACACUAGGUUAAUCCGAGAACCGAUUAAACCAUAGCUCUGAUACCACUAAAUGUAACACCCCUAACCCGUUUCUGUCGUCGAAAUAAAGUACGAGGCAUUAUCGAGGAGUACAAAAACACUUACAGAUAAUUUAAAUAUAUUUUCAUAACAACUUGUCUCGAUUUCAUACUAUUUCAUAUUUAAGCUUUACUCACCAAAGUAUUUGAAAUAUCAUCUUUAUGCAAAUAUCACACAUGAGGUACAUAAUUCCAUAAUUAAGAAUGAACACAUUUAUCAAACAUAUUCCACAUUCAUAUAUCAAUGUCUCACAUUUCCAUAUAUCAAUAACCGCCAUUUUUCUUGUUUUUCAGAUAAUUAUGUGUAACCAUUGAUAAGCAUGCAAUUCACUGUUUCUUCCUGUCAAUCACAAUUUCAAAUGACAAAUUCGUGUGAAUGAGCUCAACCUCAUUAGGUUUUUAAAUUCUGUCACUUUGAUUCACAUACUCAUAAUUUACUAACAUAUCCUAUCAAACACAAUCUCUGAAUGACAAAAUCACAUAAUUGAUCUCAAUAAUAAUAAUGAUAACAUUACUUACAUUUCUUUUUCCACAUGUUACAUUUACGACUUACCAACUUGUCCAUUCUAGGAACAGCUUACGGAUUUGAGUACAUCGUGAUCUGAAGCCCGAAGUCUAACUGAAGCACAUAAGUGCUAAACGGAAGCCCAAAGGCUAACUGAAGCUCACCAGAGCUGAACUGAAACCCGAAAGGGUUAACUGAAACUCAUAUGAGUUAACGGAAGCUUGUAAGAGCUAAACAGAAAGCAAACACGAGAAUUCGCAAUAAAUGCUGAAUCUCGGUUUACUUGGGUAAUUUACCGUCAAUUCAUCUUUUUCACUGAAAGAUUGUACUUAUUUCUUACGUUCCGUUCCUCCGAAAUUCUCAGUUCAAUUUCAUAACUUUUGUACAUAAUUUACUUAUUUUCAACAAUUAAUAUACAUAAAUAUUAAUCACCAUUCAUAAAAUAAUAUUGAAAUUUAAUAAUAUUAACAAAUGGUCACUAAAUUUAGUUAUAUAAACUCAUAAGUUCGAUUUUUGUAUUAUAGCGAUAAUCAUAAUUUCAUAAUAAAUAUUCCAAAUAAAACAUUAUAUCAUUUCUAAUUCAACGCUUAUCGAUUAUAAUCGGGCAUGUGAUCAAUUUAUACACGAGUCAUUCAUAUAUUUUUGUAUAUUUUCCUCCUCCUCCUCUCCAUCCACAUCCUUAGUAUAAACAACACACUUGUAGGUAACAUUAUCCAUAAUUUUCACUAUCUACUUAUGUGAAUAUUCAAGCUGUCUAUCUAUGUCAUAGUCACUAAAUUAUUUUUAUCUUGAGCUAAAGAACUCAAAAUUAAGAUCCAUAAAUUUUACCAGAAACUAGACUCAUAGGUCUUCUUACCAUAAAAAUUUCAUAAUUUUUACUUGGGCCAAUUAAUACAGUUUAUUCAUUAAAGUCUCCCCUGUUCUGUUGUCUGACAGUUCCAACCCUUCUUCACUAAAAAUUAAUUAUCUCCUUGUACAGGAUUUGAAUUAUGUUCCCGUUUAUUUAUAUUCAAAAUAGACUCAUUCAGGAUUCUAAACAUAUAAAUUUAAGCCCCUAAUUAUAUUUAUCCAAUUUUUGAUGAUUUUACAAAGUCAGACCAGGGGAACCCGAAAUCAUUCUGACCUUGGCUCACAAAAUUUAUUAUAUCUCAUUAUUUAUAAUUCCAUUGCUUACAUUAUUUCUUCUAUAAGAAACUAGACUCAAUAAGCUUCAAUUUCAUAUUUUAUUCAUCCUCUAAUUCCAUUUAUACAAUUUUUGAUGAUUUUAUCAAAGUUAGACUACUGCUGCUGUCCAAAACAGUUUUAGUGCAAAAUGUUGAUUUCCAUUUUGCCCCAAAUUUCACAGUUCAUACAAUUCAGUCCUUGCUCAAUUAACCCCUCAAUUAAGAUAAUUUUCUCAAUUAAUACUUUUCAUAAACAUUAUAGGUUAUUUCAUAACUAUUGAAAUUCAUAAUUUCCACAUAAAACUCUAACUUCAAACUCUUUUACAAUUAGGUCCCAAACAUUCACUUUCUAUUCAAUUCUUACAAUAAAAUCAACAUAUAAACAAUUUAAAACUCUAAUUCCAUGCAAAAUCAUCAUAUACUUCCAGCACAUAUGUAUAGAAACUUUCAAUUUCUUUCAUAGAAUCAAAAACUAAUGAAUUCAACAAGUGGACCUAGUUGUAAAAGUCACAAAAACACAAAAAUUUCAAGAAUUAAUCAAGAAUUAAACUUAAUUGGAGUAAAAAUAUGAAACACCAGCUUAAUAGAACUCCUCCAUGGCGUUUUUCUGAUGAGAAUGCAGAAAAAUAAAGAGAAAUCUAUAUAAUUCCACUUUAGUCCUAGCUUUAUUAAGUAAAUUUUGCAAUUUUCCAAUUUUUCCCUUAAUUCUCCCUAUUUUCUUGCUAAUUUCAUGCCCUUUCCAUCCAGCCCAAAUAGACCUUGGGUCUUUUUUCCUUUUAAACCCUCUUUCUUUUAUCAAUUAAGCUAUUUAAUCAUUUCUCACAAUUUUACAUUUGAUACAAUUUAGUCCUUUUUGUUCAAUUAACUAUCAGAACUUUAAAAUUUCUUGACGAAACUUUAAUACUAACAUAUUAACACUCCAUAAAUAUUUAUAAAAAUAUUUAUGGCUCGAUUUAAAAUUCCCAAGGUCUCGAUACCUCGUUUUCGAUUCUAAUUAUUUUAAUAUUUAUUUUUAGUACACUAUUCACUAUAUCAAAAUUUUUCCUAACUUCACAUUUAAUUUAUACUCACUAAAUUAAUAAUAUUUCCUACUCAUUUGUCGGAUUUAGUUGUGACAUCCCUAAUUUGACCCUAGUCGAGAUGUGGUUUUGGGACCACAAAAUCGAGUUAUAAAAUUUAUUAAAUAUUAAAAUUCAUAUCUACUAUGUGUGAUAGUGCAUGUGUGAAAUUUUGAUGCUUGAAUUAUUUCAAACCUAGUCGGAUUUUUUUUUAAACCUAGCAGACUAUGGCUAAGUGCCUUGAAUUAUUUCAAACCGAAGACCAUUUGUAUAUCUUUAAGAUAAGGAUUUAAUUAGUUUCAUAAAAAUUUACUAAUUUGAGUUGUAUUCGGCAGGAUGUGCAAAUACAAGGUAUGGAUUGCGUUUGGUCAUUUAUGUAUAUGUGAUAAGGAAUAUGUUUGGUCCUUUAUAUACGUAUACGAAACUUUAAUACUUGUCAUGAUUUGAUUAUUUGAAAUAUUAAUGUAAAUAUGAACUAAAGAACUAAGCUCCUAAAUACAUAUAUACAUUUAUGUAUGUGCAUGAAAUGAGUGCAUAUGAUUAAGUGGUUAGAGGUAUUGAAAGAUUGAAUUGGUAAUUGGUAACUAUGGAAACGGUAAGUGUAAAAAGGUUAAGUAUAUGGUAAGUGAUACUUACUUGCUAUGUGAACUCGAUUUCGUUUGUAUUACAAAUGUACUUGGGGAAUCACUUAUGAGAUGGUUAUAAGUUAUAUUCAACGAGUAUUGACUCUAUCAAAUUGUUUAUGUAAGAUGAAAACAUGAAUAUGUGCUUCCAAAUAUGGAAACCGAAUGUGAUUAUAGUGUUAUGUUUUAGUUUGACUGAUUAAACUAAAAGUAGCAUUGAUGUUUUUAAAUGCGAAGGGGUAUAUACUCUUAAAUUGGGAUGAAAUAGAUGAAUUACAUGUGUAUACAUAGGGUUUAAUCUAUUUGACCGAAUGGUGAUAUAUCUUGACAUUUCAAAACGUGAUUUGUGUAAGGCCUAAUCUUAAGCGACUUAGUAAUAAAUCAACAAUUACGGAUGUUCAGCACAUUAAGUUGGCCAGGUAUGUAUUAUGUACUUGUGUAGGCUUAUUAAGCCCACCGAGACUUCACUUGGAUUUUGUGUAAGUUAUAAAUGUAUUUAAUCCAGCAAAGUUAAUUGUUUUACUUAAGACUUACUAAGCCUUGAAAGCUUACUCUGUUGUUACGUUUCUCUGUUUUAUAGAUUACCAAAUUUGGCCUUUGCUCGGGGAUCGUCAACAACUCGUCACACUAUCACUAUCCACUGUUUGGUACUGCUAUGUUUUGGAUUAUUUUAUGGCAUGUAUAGAAUAGACUAGUAGCGGAAUAAUAUUCUGGUUAAUGUAUAUAAGCCAUGCGAAAAUGGCAUCUUUUGAAUAUGUACUUAUAGAAGUUUAAUUUUAUCAUUGGCUGUAUUUAGCAUUUAUCUAAAUGAAUGAUCUUUAUUUCAAGCAAAAGUUUAAAAUUUUACUGUUCUGACAUGAGUUACAAGUCUGGUAAUACCCCUUUCCUAUUCCGACAACAGUUACGGGAUAGGGGUGUUACAUUUUAUUUGGUAUCAGAGUUACGGUUUAGUCGAUUCUAGAACUAACGUAGCACGUGUGAGUCUAGUUAUACAUGUCAUAUAAUGAUAAAAUGAUAGUGUGAUGAUUUCUGACAGAUAAAAUGUAUUUUUCGUAUUGUAAUGAAUCUCUAUCCCUAUCGAGCUGUAACAAGCAUGAUGGCUGGUAAUGUGUUUCAGACUCAAAGUUCAACAGGCUUGUGCCAGUGACGAGUUCAGGUUAUACCUAGUGGGCUGAAUGUUGGAAAACUAUUAAAAAGACUAGAACUAUGAAGCUUAUGCUAUACGGAAUCCGAAUUCGUUCACUAAAUUAAGUUUGUUCAGGUAUGUGAGUGUUAUUUACGAAAUACGUAUGGGAAAAUGGUGGUAUAUCUAUGUGUUCAGUUUCCAUAGAAAUUUAUAUUCAUAGAAGUGUAUGUGGCACCCAUGUGAUUCGAUCAUUGAAAUUAUAGAAAUUAAGUUGGAUAGUGAAACAAAAAUGUGAUCUUUGUAUGUGGCUAUUGAACCGAAAUUUGAAUGGUUGAUAAGCAUGUAGUGCUUGUAUUCGAGUAAUGUAAAUGAUAUACUAAUGUGUUAUGUUAUAUAUAUGUAUGUGCAUUAGAAUUGAGAGUUACAUCCGGGCUAAGUCCCGAAUAGCAUUCGUGCUGGUGUUACAUCCGGGCUAAGUCCCGAAGAGCAUUCGUACUGGUGUUAUAUCCGGGCUAAGUCCCGAAGAGCAUUCGUGCUGGUGUUACAUCCGGGCUAAGUCCCGAAGAGCAUUCGUGCUGGUGUUAUAUUCGGGCUAAGUCCCGAAGAGCAUUCGUGCUGGUGUUACAUCCGGGCUAAGUCCCGAAGAGCAUUCGUGCUGGUGUUAUAUCCGGGCUAAGUCCCGAAGAGCAUUCGUGCUCGUGUUAUAUCCGGGCUAAGUCUCGAAGAGCAUUCGUGCUGGUGUUACAUCCGGGCUAAGUCCUGAAGGGCAUUCGUGCCGGUGAUGUGUAAUCAGGCCUUCAUGCCUAGCAGGCUUUGUGCUGGUGAUGUGUAUUCGGGCCUUCGUUCCUAACAGGCUUAAUGCCGGUGAUUCGAGCAAAGUUUAAGUGUUCAUUACUAUAUGAAUUCAAAGUUAAAUGAAAGGACACGUUUAAAGUGUACUUAUAUGAUGUUUUAUAGACUUGGUUAAGUUAUUUCAAUGUGAAAUAACGAAUGAAUAUAGGCACUAUGUGUGCGAAUGAAUUGAGGCACUGUGUGUGCGAAUUCUUUAACCGAGCACUAUGUGUGUGAGAUCGGUCAGUGGGCACUGUGUGUGCGAAUUCUUUAACCGAGCACUAUGUGUGUGAGAUCGGUCAGUAGACACUGUGUGUGCGGAUUUCGUUUCAUGUAAGAUCUCGUCUAGGACGACGGCAUUGAUUUGUGAUAGUGUGUAAGACCGUGCUUAGUACACUGGCAUCACUUGUGUUAAGCUUUAUGCCUAUUCGACUGUAUACGGGUAACUUUAAAUAUGAUUGGAUGUAUUGAAUGAACUAAAUGUUCAGGUACGUGGGAAAUAAGUUAAGUUGAAUAUUUAGAUAUGAUAAUGUUAUAAAGGAUAUUCAUUAGGAUGUUUAAGAACAUGUAUACUUUCGGCCAUGUUACGGCUUAUAUAUAUAUGAAUGAAAAUGUGGGUUAUGAAUAUCUGAGUUGAUGUUAUGUAUUUGUUUUAAAACAAGAGGACGUUAUCCUAACGUAGUCGCUAGUAAGAUUUUCAGGGACGAAAAUCCCUAAAGAGGGGGAGAGUUGUGACAUCCCUAAUUUGACCCUAGUCGAGAUGUGGUUUUGGGACCACAAAAUUGAGUUAUAAAAUUUAUUAAAUAUUAAAAUUCAUAUCUACUAUGUGUGAUAGUGCAUGUGUGAAAUUUUGAUGCUUAAAUUAUGUUAGUUGAAUGUGAAUUUUAGUCAAAGGGCUUAUGUGAGAAACAAAAAAAAAAGUGAUGAAUUAAUUUGAAGACUUAUUAGUACAUGAUUCUCAAAAUGGGGACUUGCAUGUCAAAUACCCCAUUUUGAGAAGUAGUGGCCGGCCAUAAUGAUUAGGGUGCAUAGAAAAUGAAUUUAUGUAAGUAUAUUAAUAGUAUAUGGCCUUAAUUUAUAAAGAAAAGAUAAAUAAAAUAUUUUGGGGUGAAAAAAAAAAACAAAGUUUGGUUCAUUCUUCUUCUUCAUUGCCGUGGUAAAGAAAGAAUAAGGGAGUGAAGCUCAAAUAAUGGGCCAUAUGCAUAGAUCUAAUUCUAAAGGUAUGUAAUGUGAUUUUUGUCAAAUUGAUUAUGAAAUUUGGUUGUUAAUGACAUGUGGUAGAUAACCCAUGAUUUUAAUUCUAGAUUAAGUGAUCAUAGGGCAUUCGACCAUUUAAGAGAAAUGUGGAAAUUUUGUUUUAAAGCUCGUAAUUCAUGUUUAAUUUCUGAAUGGAGUUUUGAAUUGGUAGAAUUGAGUUUUAAUUUUAAGAAAUAAGUGAUGUUUGUAAGGAUUUUCAAAGUUCAUGUAAAGCUUAUUAAGGAAUGGUAAAUUGGUUGUAAUAUUAUAUAUAUUUUGAUAGUAUAUUAGAUGGUUUGAGAUUUGAGCUAGUUACAUGUGCUAUUAUGAAGAUUUAUGGAUGUUUUAGAAUUGACCUAAGUGUUUUAGUCAUUAAUAUAUAUAUUGCCGAAUGUAUGCUUAAGGAAUUGGUUAAGUACAUUGUUGUUAAAUGCUUGUUGUUUUUGUAUAAUUGUUGCCUAGCUACUAAAUGAACUUAGGGUAUUAUGGAUAAGUUUAAGAGUGGCAUAAUUGAAAUGAAGUUUGCUUGUGCCGAAUGUGAUUUUAGUGCAUGAAUUAGGAGUUUAAUUUCAUUCGGUAACUCAUACCAAAUUGGGAGAUAGUAUUAAACAUUAGUAUUAUUGUUAAAUAAUUGAAGUGAGCUUUGAAUGGUUGUUUUGCUUAUAAUGGCCGAAUGUGAACUUAAGUUUUGAAUUACAAUUGAAGCUUGUUAGUUAGUUGAUGAUGUCCUUUGAUAGCCCUUUUGAUAUUCAGCCAUUGUUAAGGAAUUUUGAAUUGGUUAUAAAUUUCUAUGUUUUAAUUAGCAAAUUGAAUUAUUGAAGGUUGAGCUAAUUAUAUAUGUAUACGUUUUAUAUGUACAUUAAUUUCUUAGUCUAUGUUAUUCGGCUAUAAUUGUCAUGGUAGAAUUUUUUUAAUUUGUAAAUUUGUUAAUCAUUAGCUCAAGAGCAUCAAGGACAAAAGUCGGAAAAAGGGAAGGCAAAACUAAGCGAAUAGCCGUAGAAUUAUAGUCGUCGACAACUCUUAAGGUAAGUUUCUAGCAUAUAAGUUUAGUUAUAAUGAAGAAUGAUAUGGAAUACGGGUAAAGAUGGGACUAUGAAUUGGUGUAAUUACCUAUAAUAAAAUGAUAAGGAAUAAGUUACUUCUAUGAGCCUUAGCCGAUUGGUUAUUAGAAAAGUGAUAUUUAAAUUAUGGUUUGUAUGUGAUAAUAAGAAGUACUUAUAUAUGAUGAUAUGUUUUAAACUCAAAUGGUAAGUUCUUAAGUGUUUGGACUUGGAAAUUUAAUAGCAAAUUGUAAUAAUCUGCUUAGGACAGCAGCAGUAGCGUGAUUUUUGAAAAUCGCCAUAAAUUGUUGGAGUGGAAUUAAAGACUGAAUAAAAUAUGUAAUCAAAGCUCAAUGGGUUUAGUUUCUUAUAUAAACAGUGCAAGCAAAGGAAUUUCCUAUAGAGAGAUAUUUAAAGUUGUGUGUGACAGUGUCAGAAUGAAUAUGAAAUCCCCUGUUCUGUUUUUAGAAAAUCAUUAUAAAUAGUACAAAAAUUUUUAUAAGAUAAAAUUUAUAGUCUUAGAAUCCUUAAUGAGUCUAGUUUCAAAUGAAAUAAACAAGAACAUAUUUUAAAAUCUUUACAAUGAGAAAUUUGAUUCGUAGUGAAGAGUGGUCAGUAUAGUCAAACAGUGAAAUAGGGGAAACUUUAAGAAAAUUCUGGUUUUGAUUGGACAAACCAAAAAUCCUGAAAAUUUUAUGGAUAGAAGAUAUAUGAGUCUAUUUUUGGGGAAAAUUUAUGGCACUUCAUUUGGAGUUUCGUAGCUCCAGUUACAAAUAAUUUAAUGAUUGUUGCUCAAGAAAACAGCUUGUAGUGAAUCUGUGAUUUUGUUGUAAACAUUGAUGAAACUAAUUGAGUUGCUUAUAAGCUAUUGCUGAAUUGAUGUACAAGAUAAAUAUAUAGGUGGUGAGGCCAAAAUGGCUAAAAUAUAAAUGUGUGCAAGUUAUCCGAAUGGCUAUUUUAUAAACAUAAGCAAUGUAUAUGUAAUAUGUGUUGAUAGUUUUAUAAAUUGAAGGUGUAGUGACUUAUAUGUUGUUUAGCCGAAUGGUUGUCAUGAGAAGAAUGUAAGUCAUGUGUGUAUUUUCUUAUUUAGUUGGAAGUUUAUUGAAAGGGAUAUAUAUAUAAAUAUGUAUUAAAGUCGAAUGAUAUUAUGACAUGAAGUUAAGGCACAUGCUAUAUGCUUAUAUUCGAAUGAGGUUAAUGAAUUACAAUGGUGAUAGUUUGUGUGAAAUGUGGUAACCUGUGAUUAGGUAUACAUGGAAUUUAGAAAGUAUCCGGGUUAAGACUCGCUGACUACGUGAUGUCGCCUAAUGGCUCUUGUGAAAUGAGACUAGCUAUAUUGAGAUACGAAUAAGUUCGAAUGAAGUGAUACCUUAUUAAUGUGUUUCCGUGUUGGAAAGAUCGAAGGUAUGUGAAUUGAUGUGUAUAAAACUUUGUGAGUUAACUAUGAUGAUAUAUCCGGGCUUAAAGUCCCGCAGGCUUGGUACUGGUAACUGGAUUCGGAUUUUUUUUUUAAACCUAGCAGACUAUGGCUAAGUGCCUUGAAUUAUUUCAAACCGAAGACCAUUUGUAUAUCUUUAAGAUAAGGAUUUAAUUAGUUUCAUAAAAAUUUACUAAUUUGAGUUGUAUUCGGCAGGAUGUGCAAAUACAAGGUAUGGAUUGCGUUUGGUCAUUUAUGUAUAUGUGAUAAGGAAUAUGUUUGGUCCUUUAUAUACGUAUACGAAACUUUAAUACUUGUCAUGAUUUGAUUAUUUGAAAUAUUAAUGUAAAUAUGAACUAAAGAACUAAGCUCCUAAAUACAUAUAUACAUUUAUGUAUGUGCACGAAAUGAGUGCAUAUGAUUAAGUGGUUAGAGGUAUUGAAAGAUUGAAUUGGUAAUUGGUAACUAUGGAAACGGUAAGUGUACAAAGGUUAAGUAUAUGGUAAGUGAUACUUACUUGCUAUGUGAACUCGAUUUCGUUUGUAUUACAAAUGUACUUGGGGAAUCACUUAUGAGAUGGUUAUAAGUUAUAUUCAACGAGUAUUGACUUUAUCAAAUUGUUUAUGUAAGAUGAAAACAUGAAUAUGUGCUUCCAAAUAUGGAAACCGAAUGUGAUUAUAGUGUUAUGUUUUAGUUUGACUGAUUAAACUAAAAGUAGCAUUGAUGUUUUUAAAUGCGAAGGGGUAUAUACUCUUAAAUUGGGAUGAAAUAGAUGAAUUACAUGUGCAUACAUAGGGUUUAAUCUAUUUGACCGAAUGGUGAUAUAUCUUGACAUUUCAAAACGUGAUUUGUGUAAGACCUAAUCUUAAGCGACUUAGUAAUAAAUCAACAAUUACGGAUGUUCAGCACAUUAAGUUGGCCAGGUAUGUAUUAUGUACUUGUGUAGGCUUAUUAAGCCCACCGAGACUUCACUUGGAUUUUGUGUAAGUUAUAAAUGUAUUUAAUCCAGCAAAGUUAAUUGUUUUACUUAAGACUUACUAAGCCUUGAAAGCUUACUCUGUUGUUACGUUUCUCUGUUUUAUAGAUUACCAAAUUUGGCCUUUGCUCAGGGAUCGUCAACAACUCGUCACACUAUCACUAUCCACUGUUUGGUACUGCUAUGUUUUGGAUUAUUUUAUGGCAUGUAUAGAAUAGACUAGUAGCGGAAUAAUAUUCUGGUUAAUGUAUAUAAGCCAUGCGAAAAUGACAUCUUUUGAAUGUGUACUUAUAGAAGUUUAAUUUUAUCCUUGGCUGUAUUUAGCAUUUAUCUAAAUGAAUGAUCUUUAUUUCAAGAAAAAGUUUAAAAUUUUACUGUUCUGACAUGAGUUACAAGUCUGGUAAUACCCCUUUCCUAUUCUGACAACGGUUACGGGAUAGGGGUGUUACAUUAGUGAUCUCGAAUCACUGUUCCGACACCACUGAAAAUUAGAUUGUUACACUACCAACCCUAGAAAACUUCUUAUUUAUGUGACAUUCUUCGAAGGCUUCCAAUUAAUGAUAGCUGAGAUUUUACUCGGAUUAACUCGAAUACCUUCAGUUGAUACCACGUAAUCUAGAAAUCUCACUUCUCAUAACCAGAAUUCACAUUUGCUAAACUUAACAUACAAUUACUUUUCUCGCAAAGUUUAUAACACAACCCUUAGAUGUUGAUCAUGAUCUUUUUCAUUUUUGAAUAAAUCAAGAUAUCAUAAAUAAGCACGACGACAAACUGGUCUAGAUACAACUGAAAGAGAUUUUGUUCAUCAAAUCCAUAAAAGUGAUAGGGUCAUUAGUAAGCCCAAAUGGCAUUACCAAAAAUUCAUAGUCUACAAUGCGUUCGAAAAGUAAUUUUUGGAACAUCUGACUUUUUGACUCUGAGCUAAUAGUAUCCCGAUCGAAGAUCAAUCUUAAGAAACAAGGUUGCUUCUUUCAGUUGAUCAAACAAAUCGUUAAUUCGGGAAAGCAUAUACUUGUUCUUUAUGGUUACAUUAUUCAACUAUUGGUAGUCAAUACACAGUCUCAGGGCUCUGUUUUUCUUUUUCACAAAUAAUAUUGGAGCUCUUCAAUGUGACACACUCGGUUAGUUAAAUUCCCAAUCUAAAAGCUCUUACAAUUGAGCUUUCAAUUCUUUCAAUUCAGUCAGAGUCAUUAUGUAUGAUGCGAUAAAAAAACUAUUUUUUCGUAUUUUUUCCAGUUUAUUUUAACUCACACAAUUUUUUUUUUAAAUUUACCGGUGUCUCCUGACACAUUAGCGACACCCAUUAAAAACAUAGUUUUUUCUUUUCUUUUUUUUUUUUUGCAUCUUGAAUACCUUAUUUUUCACAGGUAUUUCAAAAUAUAUAUACCAGUGCCACCUAAUAGAGUAGCUGAACGAAAAAAAUAUUUUUUUUAAAUCUAAUGAUUGGUGCUGCCAAUGUGUUAGGCAACAUUGACAAUAACCGUAACAAAUGGGUUAUUUUCGUAUAUAAUUUUUUCUAAAUAUUGAUGGGUAUUGUAGUCGAGUAAAAAAUAUUGAUUUAGAUAUUUAUUUCACGUAGGUCUAAUUAUUUUAUUCAUUGAAGGAGCCUCAACUUGUAUGAUUAUUGAGGUCUCACCCAAUAAAAUACCAUACUCGCAUUCUUUUAGGUAAUAUUUGGUGUUUUUUUAAUAUUAUGAUUCUAAUGAAAUUUGGUUUCUUGAAAUGUCAUUAUUAGGAAUGUGAUUGUCGGAAAAGUCAAUUUGCAACAUUAGUAUAUAUUGGAAGUAUUGAUUAAAAUCACAAGAAAGUUAUAUUGUUAUGUUUGGUUCACUAAGUAACUUCUUAUGAAUGUAAUGAUAAUUUAUGAAUUUACCCUUAUUAAAUAGAAGUUAAUAUUUAUCUCUUUAAUUUUUAUAACAAACUUUAUUCUUUAUAUAUUUGGAUUAAAUAUUUAAUAAUAAAAUUUAAUUGAUAAUUUCUAAAUUAUUUUUAAUUUAUAAUUUUAAUUGAAAGAAAAAUUGUUUCAAAUUUGUCUUGCAUAUUUUUUCUAAAUAUAAUAAUACAUAUAUAAAAUCAUGGAUAUAUAAAACUUAUUUUGAAAUAAAUUUUAAAACUACUUGAAAUCACAUUUGUUUUAACUAAAGGCUAACUCAUAGGAAUAUAUAUAUAUAAAAGAGUUGAUUCUAGGUAUCGUUCUAAGCAAAACUAAAAAUAAUUAAAUCAUAAAAAUGUAAAAUCAUAGGCGGUCUAACCCACAAUUUCUACACAACUUAAAUGGAACAAUUCUACUCAUAUUCUAAAAAAAAGUUAACAAGUAUUUCGUACAAGUACUAAAUUAAAUUUGUAACUAGAAAAAAAAAUCAAUGAAUAAAACUUAUUUGCAAAAAAUUUGUUGAAGUAAUAAAGAAAAUCAAGUGAUAAGGAGGAGGAAGGCGACAAUAGCUUUUCCUUUUUUCUAAGUAGGCCAAUGUACUAAACUAAUGUAAAAUAGGGUUAAUUUUGUCUUUUUAUUUUAACUUUUCAAUGUACAUAGAAAAAUAACUUUCUCACCUUUUAUCAUAAGAAUCAGAUUGCCAUAUUUAUGAGAAAGUAAUUUUUAAGGGAAUGUUAUAUUCUAAAGAAAGUAAAUAAAACUUAACAUACCAAAUGUUGAAAUCACUUUUCAACUGAUUAAAUUCUCAGAAAAAUGACUACUUUCCAUCAUACCAAACACUAACUUAUUGUCACACAGAAUGCAAAAUUCUUAAAAAACAAAAUUCUCAACUUUCUCCUUUCUAUUUUAACCUAAAUUAUCUUUUCUUGGUGUGAUUCUUUAAUGGCUUCACUGAGGUUUCAACGUUAACACAUAAUUGUCUUAAAUGUAAACAUGGUAAAAUUACACAUUUUUUUUAAAAUUUUGUUAUUAUUAAUUUUUGUUAUGAAAUUCUUUCUAGAUUAUAAAAAAUUAAAAAUUAUAUUUUGUAAUUUUUUUUUUUUAAGAUACACAUCAAACUAUUCAAACCCAACAUAAUUUUUUUUCUGGUAAGCCCGAUAAACAUAUUGAAUGUUACUUAGAGAGGGCCAAUUUAUCGGUGGCAACAAAAAUGACUCGUCGAAAUUGAUGUAAUUUGAAAUUUUAAAAUUUUAAUUGAAUAUGUUUUGAAAGUAGGUAUUUAAUUAAUUUUGUUGGUAGUGGUUACAUACCCUUUAGCCUUAUUUUUAUUUACAUUUAACAUUUCUAAUGAUUUUGUGAUCCGUACACUUACAAAAUAUUAAAUAUAAACCUUUCUAAGAAACUUAUAUUAAUUGAGCAUUAUUUUAGAUUGGAACACCUUCAAUUUUAUAUUUUUUACGAAUAAUAUUCCGAACUUUUAUAAAAUUGCAAGUGAAGUGUUAUUUAUCUGGUUGCACCAAAAGAAUUUUAUAGUAAUAAAUAUACAUAUUUCUUGUUCUGGGAUUUUUUGUUAUAGUAUGAAUUAUGAAACCAUGAAAUAAUUUUAUUUUGAAUUUAACUUAAUUAAUUAUUAAAUAACUUUAAGUGGCGCACAUUGUCAGCAGAUCCCUAGUGUUAUAAUCACUGAUUUUUAUAGAGCUUCCUUCUAUUUUUCACAAUAAUUUGACUCAUUAGCCUUUGCAUAAAGACCAAAAAGAAGCUCCCUCCUUCGCCCUAUUGGCUCAGACUUCUGACAAAGAAAAUAUCUGAGGCAUACUUCAAUUUGGAAAACACUAAAAUCAAUGGAAGAAAGUACAACCUUAAAUUUUACGGCACUCGAAGACCAAGACCAAAAAGAUAUACGUAUAUUUGGGUGCAUUGGGUUUGCAAUGGAGAUGAUGAACUUAAAGCCAUCAUUUGCCAGGAAGCUAAACCAAGGUUUGAGCCCAAUUCACAUUGCAGUUAAAAGAGGGCAUAAAGAGAUGGUGCUUCGUUUCCUAGAGAUUGAUAAAGAUCUUGCUCGUGUCAAAGGGAAGAAGGGUAAGAUUCCCUUGCAGUUCUUAAGUAAAGCUGGAAACCCUGAUGGCUUGGUCGAUAGGUUUCUUGAGGUUUGUCCCGAAAGCAUCAGAAAUGUUACAACUACGAAUCGUACUGCUUUGCAUAUCGCUGCAGAAAGGAAUAGAUUGGAUGUGUCGUAACCAAUUUUUUAAAAAAAACGGGUAUCGACUUGGAGAAAAAACGAAAACGGGAGUCGCCACCAAUCUUUUUAGGUGUGAUUGGAUCACCUUGUAAAAGUGGUUGUUUUUAAUGAAUGGUUUGAUUUAUUUAAACAACGAUUUUGGUCCACGUAAAUCAAGAAAACAGGUUCGAGAGUCGGUUACACACGAGGAAGGAUUAGCACCCUCGUAGUGCCCAAAAAUUGGUACCUAGUUGAUUAAUUAAUAUCUUAGUGUCGAAAAUGGAAAGCUUGAAAGACAUUGAAAUACGAUCCCUCUUCGUAAAAAUGCUAAUUUGAAAAUGACCGAAUAAAUUAAAACAAAUGUUAAAGACUCUCUCAUCUCGAAGUAAUAAAAUGUCACGCUCAGUAAGUUAGGACACAACAUUUUAAACUUUGAGAAUGAGCUUGCCUUUAUUUAAAAUUCAUAUAUUCUAAAAAAAUUUUAAAAGGCUGUUCGGCUAUUUAGGAUAAACAAGAAAAGUCGAAACCCAGUAAGUUAGGUCACGUUUUCUCGAAUUUCCUAAUACCAAAUAUUACCUUUAUUUUUAAACAAAUUCUUAUUUCGAGGUGACAAAAUGUCGUACCCAGUAAGUUAGGGCACAACACCUCGUACUUCCGAAAAUAAGUGUUUUUUUCGUAUUGCGAUUUAAGAGGAUUAUAUCGUUAUUUAGAUAUAAACGAGGAAAACCGAAACCCAGUAAGUUAAGGCGCAAUUUUCUCGAAUUGUCUAAAUACGAAACUUGUUUUAUUUUAGAAAAACGCGAUUAUGUGCGUCGAGUAAAAGACCAAUGUAAUCAUAAUCGCAUGGUGAAAUAAGAAACGAGUUGCAGUAUUAACAUGCAUAAUAAUAACAAAGGUGGUGAUAUAAACAACAAUUAUAAUGACAAAAUAAUAUGGAUUUGCAGAUAUAUUGAGACAUAUAAGAAUAAACGAAUAAACAUAAUGAAAUAAUGAUAAUGAGAACAAAACGAAAUAAAAAUACAACGAUAAAGGAAAUAACAAAGCAAAUUAUAGUAUAAAUUGGAUUUUAAAUCGGGGGUAAGCAAAUAAACAUAUGAGUAAGUGUAACGCCCCAAUUUUCGGGAAUUCUGUGAAUGUUGGCAUAGGUUUAAUUAUGUUAGUGGGCCUCUAGAAGGCCCAAGCUUAAGAUAGAACCCGGAAAUUUUAGUUAAUUUUUGUUCCAUAAGAAAAGGGGGGUGAAAUUAUGAAAUAGGACCUAUGUAAAAAUGUUUGAAAAUGCUAUAGGCUAAAUUGAAGUGGCCAAAUAAAUAGGAGUGCAAAAUAGGAGGAUUUGCAUGACAAACCUCCCAUUUUACAUAAAGUGGCCAGCCAUCAUGUUGUUGUAGACAAUAUGAGCACUUGAUAUCCAUAAUUCAUGAUUCAAAUUGAUAAUGGGUUAGGUAAAUGUUCCAUGAUAAUGGAUUAGAUAAAUAUUCCAUGAUAAUGGGUUAGAUAAAUGUUCCAUGAUAAUGGUUUAGGUAAAUGUUCCAUGAUGGGCAUUUCAUGUCUUUUGUAUUAAAGAAUUAAAUGGAUGAAAUAUGAAAUUUUAUUAAAAGAAAAAGGAGUGAAAAGAACAAAGUUUUGUCCAUCUUUGUUCAUCAUAGCCUAAAGUUAGAGAAGAGAAAGGAGAGGAGAAAGCUCUUGAAUGUUCGGUCACCUGGGGAAGAAAAUUGAAGGUAAGUUCAUGGUACCUUGCUUCUAUUUUGAGGUUCAUGAGUUCUUCUUGAUUCUACCUUAACUCUUGAAGCAUAUUUUGGUUUUUGGUUGUGUUGUGAGCAUUUGGUCAUGAAUUAAAAUGAAAGAAAUGGUUGUUGUUUCAUUUUCUUUUGAUGAAAAAUGGAAGAUAUGUGAAGUUGAGCCAAACAAAUGAGCAUGCAUGUGCCUUAGAUGCAAAAGGGAAAAAUCGGCUAACAUGUUGUACUUUAAAAUGAUGAAAUGGAGAUUAUGCUUAAGUAAAAAUCAUAGAUAUGUGAUGAUUGAUUGGUGAUAUACAUGUUUAAAUAACAUGCAUGCAAGAUAGGUGUAUGAAAGAGUGAUUUGGUAAUAAAUCUGCUUGGGAUAGCAGCAGUAACGUGACUUUGGAAAAUCACCAUAAAUUGUGGGAGAUGAAUUAGAAGCUGAAUAAAUUAUGUAAUUAAAGAUUAAUGAGUCUAGUUUCAAAUGAAAUAAACUAGAACAUAUUUUUAAUUCUGUACAAUGAGAAAUUUGAUUUGUAAUGAAGAGUGGUCAGAUUAGUCAAACAGUGAAACAUGGGAAACUUUAAGAAAAAUCUGGUAUUGAUUGGCCAUACCAAAAAUUAUGAAAAUUUUAUGGAUAGAAGAUAUAUGAGUCUAUUUUCAGGAAAAAUUAACGGAACUUGAUUUGGAGUUUCGUAGCUCCAGUUAUAAAUGAUUUAGUGACUGUUGCUCAGGAAGACAGCUUGCAGUGAAAUUAUGAUUAUGUGGUAAACAUUGACAAAAAUUUGUUAAUGAGUUGCUUAUUGAUUUCUUAUAAGCUUACUAUGAUCUGUAGGUGUGGUUGGCCGAAUAUCGUAAGGGGUUAAUACGUAGUUUGUAUUUGAAUAGUUAGAUUAACGUGUUAGUAAUCUAAUUGUAGGCGGUUCGUGUGUGGAUCUCGUCAGCAUAUCGUCACAAACAGGUGUGUAACUAACACCCUCUUUCUUAGUCUAGAUCGGCUCGAAAUGUCGAAAACCGGUAUUUUGUAGAUUUACGAGUGUGCGAAUGCUCGUAAGGUAAAUCGAUUAAUGUUUUUGGUAAGCUGCAAUGUUUGGACUGCAAAGUGCAUGAUUUCUGUGCCCUUGAUAUUUUUGGGCUUAAUGGACCAAAAUUGGAAUGAUGGGCCAACGGGCCCAAUUCAGUAAGAACCCUCAGUACGUGAUUCUGUUAGUACGUGAAAGGUAGGAAUAUGCAUGAAAAACCCUAAAAUAGAUAAAUUACUGAAAUACCUUUAAAAGUGAAAAAUUUACAGUUUUACCCCUAGGGUUAAAUUGACCUAAAUGCAUGUUUGACUGUUGUUAUUUACUGCAUGCCAUGUUGUUAUUAUCUGAUGCAUGGGACUGGGAUAUUGACGGAGGAAGUACUGAAAGUGGCUUGUCCACGUACUGGAGGCUUUGCCUCAAUUUACUGUUAACUGAGCAACAAGGCUGCAACUGUGGAGUGUUGGGCUGGGUGGGUUGAGCUAUUCCCCACAUGGAGUGUAUGGCUGGUACGGGUGGAGUGUAAUGGUUGGUGGGUUGAGUAGUCUCCCCAAAUGGGCUUGCAUAUGUUUACUGAUAUUGCAUGUAUUUUGAAAUGGGCCUAUGGGCCAUACUGUUAUCAGAAUAAGGGGCUAAGGCCCAGUUUAUUGUAAUCUGAAAAGGGCUUUGGCCCCGUACCACUGUUACCUGAAUGGGCUUAGGCCCAAUGGGCUUGAGCUGACUUGGGCUUUGAAUGGGUUUUUCCUUACACACUGAGUUUCCCUAAACUCACCCCUUUUUAUUUUCAUCCACGCAGGAAAUCCCCAACCAUAGUGGGCUUGGAGCUGUGAGGGAAUUCGGAGUGGCCACCCGUUCUGAAAGUUUGAUUUUCUUCUGGUGAACUGGACAUCCUUUUAAUUACGUUUGAGGUUUUGAGCUUUUAAAUGUAAUAAGGCCGCUUAUUUAUUUUUGAUGGUUUUUAUAUGUUUUAUUAAGAUAGGUAAUAUUUAUAUAUAACUGUUGAAAUUGGAUAGCUUUAGGGUGCGCUUUCAAAAACAACAAUUGAUUUCAAAAUAACACGACAACAAGCAAAGCUUCCGCAAUGAAAGUAUUUUCCAAAAUUAAUCACUUUUCCUAAAAAUGACUUAAUCAAAUCGGUUUCCUAGAAAUAUCCAUGACGUUAAGGUGUGGCAAUGGCGGUAUCCAUGUCUAGGAUUGGAUCCGAAGGGAGCUUGGUACUUAAGCAGCCUUCAUGGCUCACCUUCUCUUUUCCGGUUUCCUACCUGGUGCCCAGUGUAACACCCCUUACCCGAUACCGUUUCCGGAGUCGAGCACGAGGCAUUACUUAGCUUAUCUUACCAAUUCGGAGCAUAAAAACUAGGUUUGAAAUUUUAUUUCAUUAUUCGCAGCAAAUCUGUCCAAUCGCGCAGCAGUUACUAAAUUAAUUAUAACAUGAGCUACAGAACUCGAAAUUUAAUUCCGUAAAUUUUCCCUGAAACUAGACUCAUAUAUAUACUCACCAUAAAAUUUUUAGAAUUUUUGGUUCAUAAAAUUAGUACAGUUUAUUAGUUAAAGUCUCCCCUGUUUCACCACCUGACUGCCCUGACCUCUAGUCACUAAAAAUAAGUUUUCUCACUGUAGGAUUUUCAUAUGAAGUUCUUACUUGUUUCUACAGAAAAUAGACUCAUUAAGAAAUCUAAGCAUGUAAAUUUCAACUCAUAAACAUUUUUGUACAAUUUGUAAUUAUUUUCUAAACUCAGAACAGGGGACUCCAAAAACAGUUCUGACCCUAUCUUACUAAAAUUCACAUAUCUUAAAAUAUAAAUUUCCUUUUUCUACACCGUUAUUUUUCCAUGAAAAUAGACUCAACAAGCUUUAAUUCCAUAUAUCAUUCACCCUCUAAUUCAUUUUAUACUAUCUUGGGUGAUUUUUCAAAUUCACGUCACUGUGCUGCCUGAAUUCUGUUUCUUUGCAAAAUUUUAUCCUUUCAUGAUUUCCAUGCAUAAUUUAUCACCUAAUCUUUCAUAACAACAAACACCUUCAUCCUUAAUCAUUUUAAUAACCAUACAUCAUCAAAUACUUACACAUCACUCAUUAGCAAAAUCAUCAUUACAAACAUACAAAAUAACUAAAUCCCUAUACAUGCCAUAACUCAAACGUGUUUCGAUAUAAAAUACCGAGCAGUUGUAGUUGAUAGUGUGGACGAUCUCCGACUUCUUUAGGAUCCUUGAAGUAGCUUUGCAAUACUAUAAGAGAAAGAGAAAUAAAAGAAGUAAGCAUAAAGCUUAGUAAGUUUACUAGUAAAUAAAUAACAAUAUUUAACUUAAAUAAUUAAACUCAAUGUCUAUAUCUCUAGUUUACUCUUUAGUUAAUCUCAUACUAGUUCUCUUACUUGUUUACUUAGAAUACUUGUGUGCAUAACUUACUCAAUCCUUGCUGCAUCGUUGAACAUCAAUUGAUAGUAUAAUAAGUUCUUAAGUCUUACAACUUACCUGAGCUUGCCAUUUAUGCUUUAAACUGAACUUUCAUGAACAUGAUUCGUUUACAAGCCCGUUGAGCUACAUUGGAAUAAUAAGGAUACUCGGGUCUCUUCUGAUAAUAACAUGCCAAAGCCAUGUCCCAGACAUGGUCUUACAUGGGAUGUUCUCGUGAUGGUGCCCAUGCCAUGUCCCAGACAUGGUCUUAUAGGGGACCUCUCAUCUCGGUGCCAACGCCAUGUCCCAGACAUGGUCUUACAUGGGACCUCUCGUUUCGGUGCCCAUGCCAUGUCCCAGACAUGGUCUUACAAGGGACCUCUCAUGAUCUUAAGGAUGCCAAUGCCAUGUCCCAGACAUGGUCUUACAUGGGAUCUCUUUACCCAAAUGUCAUGACAUUCGUAUCCAGUACCAUCCUUAUGUAUCAACGGGACUUUUAAAUUUUAAUUCUCUAUCAUUUCAUGCUUGAAUCAUCAUCAAAUAAAUUCAUAAAAUAAAUUCAUAAUUGCUGGAAAUUAACAGAAUUAAUAAUAAAUAUUUAAAUAUUGCAUUUAUUUACCGUAAACUUACCUCGGUACCAAUUAUAGCCAAAUUCACCAACUUAGUCUUCAACUUUAUUCUUCCCUUUGUCUAACCUCGAGUUUCGUACUUCUUGAUCUAAAAUAGUAAAUUUAACUUAUUUAAUAAUCACAUUCAUUAAAACAGCCCUCGACUCUAACUUUUUCAAAAUUACAAUUUUGCCCCUAAACUUUUACAUAAUUACAUUUUUGCCCCAAGGCUCGGAAAUUAAACUUCAUCUCUUAUUCUUAUGUUUUAUAACAUUCUGAACAUUUUUCCCUUCUAUGGCAACAUCAAAUUCUCACUCUAACAUGUACUUAUGAACAUUAGGUAUUUUUACCGAUUAUGUCGUUUUACUCGUUUUCACUUAAAAUCGCUUAGCAAAAGUUGUUUAACAUAAUUUCUAGCUUCAUAUUCCAUCAUAAAACAUCAAAAUAAACACUUUUCACCUAUGGGUAUUUUUCCAAAUAUAAACCCUAGGUUAAAUUAUUGCUAAAAUAAGCUAAAUUAAGCUACCCGGAUCUCAAAAACGUAAAGAACAUUAAAAACGGGGCUUGGGAUCACUUACUAUGGAGCUUGGAAGCUUGAAAACCCUAACUAUGGCUUCCCCCCUUGCUGAUUUCGUUCAUAUGAAGAAGAUGAUGAUUUUUGUCAUCUUUUUCCCUUUUAAUUCAUUUUAAUUACUAGAUUACCAAAUUGCCCCUAACUUAAAAAUUUUCUAUUUCACUUAUCUCAUGUCCAUUUUUGUCUACCAAAUUACCAAUGGUAUAAUUACCAUAUAAGGACCUCCAAUUUAAAGUUUCAUAACAAUUGGACACCUCUAACAUGUAGAACUCAACUUUUGCACUUUUUACAAUUUAGUCCUUUUGACUAAAUUGAGUGCCCAAACGUCGAAAUUUUCGAGCGAAAUUUUCAAAAAAUCAUUUUGUGAAAUUGUAGACCAUAAAAAUAUAAGAAAAAUAAAAUUUUUCUCAUCGGAUUUGUGGUUCCGAAACCACUGUUCCGAUAACCUCAAAUUUGGGCCAUUACAACUCUCCCCCCCUUUUUAGGAUUUUCGUCCUCGAAAAUCUUACCAGUAAAGAGAUUCGGGUAUUGCUUCCUCAUUGUCUCUUCCGGUUCCCAUGUUGCUUCCUCAAUCCCGUGCUUUUGCCAUAGCACUUUCACCAGAUUUACCUUUUUGUUUCUAAGCUCCUUUGUUUCUCGUGCUAAUACUUUAACCGGUUCUUCAUUAUAAGUCAUAUCUGGCUGAAUUUCUACUUCUGUUGGAGUAAUAACAUGUGAAGGAUCUGAUCGAUACCGUCGUAGCAUAGAUACAUGAAAUACAUUAUGAAUUUUGUCGAGUUCCGGUGGUAAAGCCAAUCGGUAAGCAACUGGUCCAAUUCUUUCUAUAAUCUCAUAUAGUCCGAUAAAUCUUGGACUCAAUUUACCCUUUCGACCGAACCGGAGAACUUUCUUCCAAGGAGACACUUUUAAGAAUACUUUAUCACCCACCUGAAAUUCAAUCUCCCUUCGUUUAAGAUCGGCGUAUGACUUUUGACGAUCGAAAGCUGCUUUUAAACUAUCCCGAAUCAGUCUUACUUUUUCUUCUGUUUCCCGAAUCAAAUCAACCCCGUGUAUCUUCUUUUCACUGAGCUCUGUCCAAUAUAAUGGUGUUCUACAUUUUCUACCAUACAAAGCUUCAUACGGAGCCAUUUUAAUACUGGACUGAUAACUGUUAUUAUAAGCAAAUUCAAUCAAAGGUAGAUACCUUUCCCAAUUACCUUGAAACUCUAAUGCACAACAUCGGAGCAUAUCUUCCAAUACCUGAAUUACACGCUCAGAUUGGCCAUCUGUCUGAGGAUGAAAUGCAGUACUGAAAUACAACUGAGUACCCAAAGCUUCUUGCAAUUUGUUCCAGAAACGAGACGUAAAUCGGGGAUCUCUGUCUAAUAUAAUGGAGACAGGCACUCCAUGUAGUCUAACAAUCUCAGAUAUAUACAAUCCAACCAAUUUAUCUAAAGAAUAAUCCAUACAUACUGGGAUAAAGUGCGCGGACUUUGUCAAUCGGUCGACAAUUACCCAAAUGGCAUCUUUCUUCCUCGGAGAUAACGGUAACCCAGAUACAAAAUCCAUAGUGAUUCUUUCCCAUUUCCAUUCCGGUAUAGUGAUUGGCUGAAGCAACCCCGAAGGUACCUGAUGUUCAGCCUUAACCUGCUGACAUACUAAACAUCUUGAUACAAACUCAGAGAUAUCACGUUUCAUACUCGGCCACCAAUACAUCUUUUUCAAGUCAUUAUACAUUUUAUUACCUCCCGGAUGUACAGACAUAAUACCACUGUGUGCUUCGUGUAAAAUCUUCUGUACAAGUUCUGAAUUCUUCGGUACACAUACUCUGCCUCUGAAUAAUAAACAACCAUCAGUUCCAAUCUGAAAUUCUGAAUCAUUACCUGACUCACAAUGCACCCGUUUAGCCUGUAAUUUCUCAUCAUUCCUCUGAGCUUCACAUAUUUGUUGACGAAAUGUCGAUUUAGCUCUCAAUUCAGCUAUGAUUGAACCAUCAUUAGACAGUGACAACCGGGUAUUCAUAGCUCGUAAAGCAAAUAGAGAUUUUCGGCUCAAAGCAUCAGCUACCACGUUAGCCUUACCCGGAUGGUAAUCAAUAACCAAAUCAUAAUCCUUUAUCAAUUCAAGCCACCUGCGUUGUCUCAAAUUCAAAUCUUUCUGUGUCAUCAAAUAUUUCAAGCUUUUGUGAUUAGUAUAAAUAUGACACUUUUCACCAUACAAAUAAUGCCGCCAUGUUUUCAAUGCAAAUACAAUAGCAGCUAACUCGAGAUCAUGUACCGGGUAGUUUCUUUCAUGUGGCUUAAGUUGUCUUGAAGCAUAGGCUAUUACUUUAUCUUCUUGCAUCAAGACACAACCCAAACCAUUUAAUGAUGCAUCACUAUAAAUAAUAAAUUCCUUACCCGAUUCAGGCUGUACCAAUACAGGUGCUUUCGUUAACAACUCCUUCAAUCGGUCGAAACUUUGCUGGCAUUUUUCUGUCCAUUCAAAUUUAACAUCUUUCUGUAAUAAACGGGUCAUUGGAGAAGCUAUCAUAGAAAACCCUUGUACAAAUCUCCGAUAAUAACCAGCUAAACCCAAGAAACUUCUAACUUCAGAUACAUUCUUCGGUGGACUCCAAUUGACAAUAGCUGAAAUUUUACUCGGAUCUACCCUGAUGCCUUCUGCGGAUACAAUAUGUCUGAGAAAACUUACCUCUCGAAGCCAAAAUUCACAUUUCCUGAAUUUAGCAUAAAGUUUCUUUUCACGCAGAAUUUGCAACACUCAGUUUCGUCCUGAGAAUAAACUAAAAUGUCAUCAAUAAAAACUACUACAAACCUAUCUAGAUACGGUCUGAGUAUCCGGUUCAUCAAAUCCAUGAAUACUGCAGGUGCACUAGUCAACCCAAACGGCAUAACCAGAAACUCAUAAUGCCCAUACCUGGUUCUGAAAGCUGUCUUUGGCACAUCUGGCUCUUUUACCCGUAACUGAUAAUAACCCGAUCGGAGAUCAAUCUUUGAAAAUACUGUGGCACCUUUCAGUUGAUCAAAUAAGUCAUCAAUUCGAGGCAAUGGGUACUUAUUCUUUAUAGUUACCUUAUUAAGCUGCCGAUAGUCAAUACACAAUCUCAAAGACCCGUCUUUCUUUUUCACAAACAGAACUGGAGCACCCCAAGGUGAAUGACUCGGACGAACAAAACCUCUGUCAACAAGUUCCUGUAACUGUGCCUUUAACUCUUUUAAUUCUGUAGGAGCCAUACGAUACGGAGCUAUGGAAAUUGGGGCAGUUCCCGGAAUCAGAUCUAUAGAAAAUUCCACUUCUCUUUCUGGUGGCAACCCUGGUAACUCCUCUGGAAAUACAUCAGAAAAUUCACAUACAACUGGCACUGCCUGUAUCUUUGACUCAGAUACCUUAGUAUCCAACACAUACGCCAAAUAAACAUCAUACCCUUUUCUAACACACCUCUGAGCUGUCAUAACUGAAAUCAUAUCGGAUAAUCCCUUUGUCUGAUUAGAUUUAACCCAAAGUAAUUCUCCAUUCUGGCAUUUCAACACAACAUAUUUUUGUCUACAGUUUACUACUGCAUCAUGCUGAGUUAACUAAUCCAUGCCCAAUAUCACAUCAAACUCAUCAAAAGGCAAUAACAUCAAGUCAACCGGGAAACAAAUACCUUUUACCAUCAGUGGACAAUUUUUACAAACUUUAUCCACUAUCACAAACUGGCCCAGGGGGUUCGAGACUUUAACCAUAAAUUCAGUAGGUUCAACAGACAAAUUUUUAACAAAUGCUAAUUUUGUGCAUAUAUAUGAAUGUGUAGAGCCAGGAUCAAUUAAUGCAAUAACAGUAGUAUCAUAGAGAGAAAAUGUACCCGCAAUUACAUCAGGAGAGGACGCCUCUUCACGAGCUCGAAUAGCAUAUGAUCUUGCAGGUGCUCUAACAUCUGAUCUAACCGCUGAAUCUUUGAAUGCACCCCUAUCACUUGCCCCCACUCCUGAGUUUCUCUGCGGUCUACCUCUGGUAGGAGCAUUACCUGAUCUCGCACUCGUUAUUUCUUCUCUUUUAGUUGUUUCAGGACAAUACCGAAUAAAGUGAUCGGAUGCUCCACAUCUGAAACAAACAUUUUCACCUGCUCUACACUCUCCGGGGUGGCGUCUCCCACAUUGAGGACAUUCCGGUCUAGGAGGUUGAGUACUGCCAGUACUUGCAACUGUAGUGGUUUGAGCUCUAAAACCCUCGAAUCUUCUACUUCUUCUUCGGCCAGAAUAUAUAUGUGGAAAAUGUGAUCCGCUAGAGAGCUCCCUAGGCCUCUUAGAUGUAGACUGAAAUGAUUUACUCAUUUGCCUCUUCUUUGUAUCCUACGCUCCAGCUUCAGUUUUGCUCUUCUCUUUUUCUUUUAACAAGUCUUCUACUUUACAAGCUCUUUCUACCAGAACAACAAACUCUCUGAUUUCCAAUACACCCACUGAUAGUCGGAUGUCAUCAUUAAGCCCAUCUUCAAAUCUCUUGCACAUGUUGGCUUCGGUGGAUACAAAUUCCCGAGCAUACUUACUAAGUCUGACAAAUUCACGUUCAUAUUCAGUCAUGGACAUCUUACCUUGUUUUAGCUCAAGAAACUCCUUCCUUUUCUGCUCUGUAAAUCUCUGGCUGAUGUACUUCUUUCGAAACUCCUCCUGAAAGAAAUCCCAAGUAACCCUCUCACUCGGUACGAUAGACACGAGAGUCUUCCACCAAUGAUAAGCGGAAUCUCUGAGAAGUGAGACCACACACUUCAUACAUUCUUCCGGUGUACAAGAUAAUUCUUCAAAAACCCUGAUGGUAUUCUCAAGCCAGAAUUCUGCUUUUUCUGCAUCGUCAUCUUUGGUAGCCCGAAAUUCUUCAGCCCCUUGCUUCCUAAUCUUAUCAACAGGUGGUCUCUCCCUGAUAAAUAUACCUACAGCUGGGGAAGCUACAUGGGGAACCUGUGAAUCUUGAGGGGGUGGAGGUCUUACAGCCGGAUUCGUACGAACGAACUCGGCAAACCAAUCAGUCAUGGCUUGGAAGAAGGCUUCUCUAGCUCCUCCUCCCUGUCUAUCUGAUGCAGGUCUUUCACUAACAUUAACAUCUGAUGGCACCGUCCCUUCUGCGGGAAUAGGCGCAUUACUCUCUACUUCAUCUGUACUAGCUCGUUCAGGAUCCAUAACUAUUAAAGAAAAUAUUUUAAAAUCGUCAAGAGUCGUCACACUAUCAAAAUAUAUAAGUAUGGCAUGUAUAGGUAGACUCUUAUUCUUACUGAGUAUUUCCGAGAACCGACUAAACCUACUCUGAUACCAAUAAAAUGUAACACCCCUUACCCGAGACCGUUUCCGGAGUCGAGCACGAGGCAUUACUUAGCUUAUCUUCCAAUUCGGAGCAUAAAAACUAGGUUUGAAAAUUUAUUUCAUUAUUCGCAGCAAAUCUGUCCAAUCGCGCAGCAGUUACUAAAUUAAUUAUAACAUGAGCUACAGAACUCGAAAUUUAAUUCCAUAAAUUUUUCCUGAAACUAGACUCAUAUAUCUACUCACAAUAAAAUUUUUAGAAUUUUUGGUUCAGCAAAUUAGUACAGUUUAUUAGUUAAAGUCUCCACUGUUUCACCACCUGACUGCCCUGACCUCUAGUCACUAAAAAUAAGUUUUCUCACUGUAGGAUUUUCAUAUGAAGUUCUUACUUGUUUCUACAGAAAAUAUACUCAUUAAGAAAUCUAAUCAUGUAAAUUUCAACUCAUAACCAUUUUUGUACAAUUUGUAAUUAUUUUCUAAACUCAGAACAGGGGACUCCAAAAAUAAUUCUGACCCUAUCUUACUAAAAUUCACAUAUCUUAAAAUAUAAAUUUCCUUUUUCUACACCGUUAUUUUUCCAUGAAAAUAGACUCAACAAGAUUUAAUUCCAUAUAUCAUUCACCCUCUAAUUCAUUUUAUACUAUCUUGGGUGAUUUUUCAAAUUCACGUCACUGUGCUGCCUGAAUUCUGUUUCUUUGCAAAAUUUUAUCCUUUCAUGAUUUCCAUGCAUAAUUUAUCACCUAAUCUUUCAUAACAACAAACACCUUCAUCCUUAAUCAUUUUAAUAACCAUACAUCAUCAAAUACUUACACAUCACUCAUUAGCAAAAUCAUCAUUACAAACAUACAAAAUAACUAAAUCCCUAUACAUGCCAUAACUCAAACGUGUUUCGAUAUAAAAUACCGAGCAGUUGUAGUUGAUAGUGUGGACGAUCUCCGACUUCUUUAGGAUCCUUGAAGUAGCUUUGCAAUACUAUAAGAGAAAGAGAAAUAAAAGAAGUAAGCAUAAAGCUUAGUAAGUUUACUAGCAAAUAAAUAACAAUAUUUAACUUAAAUAAUUAAACUCAAUGUCUAUAUCUCUAGUUUACUCUUUAAUUAAUCUCAUACUAGUUCUCUUACUUGUUUACUUAGAAUACUUGUGUGCAUAACUUACUCAAUCCUUGCUGCAUCGUUGAACAUCAAUUGAUAGUAUAAUAAGUUCUUAAGUCUUACAACUUACCUGAGCUUGCCAUUUAUGCUUUAAACUGAACUUUCAUGAACAUGAUUCGUUUACAAGCCCGUUGAGCUACAUUGGAAUAAUAAGGAUACUCGGGUCUCUUCUGAUAAUAACAUGCCAAAGCCAUGUCCCAGACAUGGUCUUACAUGGGAUGUUCUCGUGAUGGUGCCCAUGCCAUGUCCCAGACAUGGUCUUAUAGGGGACCUCUCAUCUCGGUGCCAACGCCAUGUCCCAGACAUGGUCUUACAUGGGACCUCUCGUCUCGGUGCCCAUGCCAUGUCCCGGACAUGGUCUUACAGGGGACCUCUCAUGAUCUUAAGGAUGCCAAUGCCAUGUCCCAGACAUGGUCUUACAUGGGAUCUCUUUACCCAAAUGUCAUGACAUUCGUAUCCAGUACCAUCCUUAUGUAUCAACGGGACUUUUAAAUUUUAAUUCUCUAUCAUUUCAUGCUUGGAUCAUCAUCAAAUAAAUUCAUAAAAUAAAUUCAUAAUUGCUGGAAAUUAACAGAAUUAAUAAUAAAUAUUGAAAUAUUGCAUUUAUUUACCGUAAACUUACCUCGGUACCAAUUAUAGCCAAAUUCACCAACUUAGUCUUCAACUUUAUUCUUCCCUUUGUCUAACCUCGAGUUUCGUACUUCUUGAUCUAAAAUAGUAAAUUUAACUUAUUUAAUAAUCACAUUCAUUAAAACAGCCCUCGACUCUAACUUUUUUAAAAUUACAAUUUUGCCCCUAAACUUUUACAUAAUUACAUUUUUGCCCCCAAGGCUCGGAAAUUAAACUUCAUCUCUUAUUCUUAUGUUUUAUAACAUUCUGAACAUUUUUUCCUUCUAUGGAAACAUCAAAUUCUCACUCUAACAUGUACUUAUGAACAUUAGGUAUUUUUACCGAUUAUGUCGUUUUACUCGUUUUCACUUAAAAUCGCUUAGCAAAAGUUGUUUAACAUAAUUUCUAGCUACAUAUUCUAUCAUAAAACAUCAAAAUAAACACUUUUCACCUAUGGGUAUUUUUCCAAAUAUAAACCCUAGGUUAAAUUAUUGCUAAAAUAAGCUAAAUUAAGUUACCGGGAUCUCAAAAACGUAAAGAACAUUAAAAACGGGGCUUGGGAUCACUUACUAUGGAGCUUGGAAGCUUGAAAACCCUAACUAUGGCUUCCCCCCUUUCUGAUUUCGUUCAUAUGAAGAAGAUGAUGAUUUUUGUCAUCUUUUUCCCUUUUAAUUCAUUUUAAUUACUAGAUUACCAAAUUGCCCCUACUUAAAAAUUUUCUAUUUCACUUAUCUCAUGUCCAUUUUUGUCUACCAAGUUACCAAUGGUAUAAUUACCAUAUAAGGACCUCCAAUUUAAAGUUUCAUAACAAUUGGACACCUCUAACAUGUAGAACUCAACUUUUGCACUUUUUACAAUUUAGUCCUUUUGACUAAAUUGAGUGCCCAAACGUCGAAAUUUUCGAGCGAAAUUUUCAAAAAAUUAUUUUGUGAAAUUGUAGCCCAUAAAAAUAUAAGAAAAAUAAAAUUUUUAUCAUCGGAUUUGUGGUUCCGAAACCACUGUUCCGAUAACCUCAAAUUUGGGCCAUUACACCCAGCUUCCAUUCACUUUAACCUAUAAUGAAAUUAUCUUUUAAAACACUAAGUAAGUUCUUUUUCUGAAUCAACAAUAUAAAAUGUUUUGAACGCUUCGAUGUGGCAUGUCGGAUCCAGUCAUAAAGUCUGGGCCGGAUUUGGGGUGUUACAGUAAGUAAACAAACUUAUAAUAAAUAAAAAGCAUAAAAUAGUAAUAAUGGUAUUAACAAAAUACAUAUAGAUAUAAGUACAAUAACAAUAAUGGUAAUAAAAAAUAAAAAUAAUUGUAAUAAUAAUAGGUAUAAUACAUAAAAUAUAAACAUAAAUAUAAAGAGAGAAAUAAAAUUAGAUAAGACGAAUAUAAAUUAAGAUAUAAUAGCAAUAAUAGCAAUAAUAAUAAAUAUUGAUAAUAAACAAUAAUAAAAGGAAUAAAAAUAAUAGUAAUAAUAAGAAUAUUUAAUAAUAGUAAUAAUAACAACAAUAUAAUAUAUACACGAAAAGUACUGAUAAUAGCGCAAAUAAUAACAAAAAUAAUAAAAUUAACUAAUUUAACAGUAAAAUAGUUAAAUAAUGAAAAAGGGAUUAAAUUGAGGACUGAAACAAAUUAUUAAGUACAAAUUUAGAUAAACAAAAAUGAUUGCAAACUGAAUUAAAAGUGGAAGGACUUAUUUGGCAAAUAACCCACAUAGCAAAAACGCGCGGAUCUUAGGUAAGGCGGGUCGGGUCGCACGGGUAUGGCCAUUGCUCCGGCGAGGUUUCAGUCCGGUCGCCACCGUGGACCACCGCCGUCGCCGCCGUCGCCGGCCACCGCACACGGUGGCCUGAAAAUAUAAAAGGUACGCUUUUUUUAUAUAUUUUUUAAAAUUUUUUUGAUAUAAUCUAAUAUAUUGUAUAGGAAAAGAUAGAUUAAAAAAUAGAGAAAAAAGAAAAAAAAAAGAAGAAAAGAAAAAAAAAC
rnacentral:lncRNA from 1 species